GCUGGGCAUGGUGACACAUGCCUGUAAUCCCAGCUGCUCGGGAGGCUGAGGCAGGAGAAUUGCUUGAACCCAGGAGUUGGAGGUUGCAGUGAGCUGAGAUCACACUGCACUCCAGCCUGGGCGACAAGGCAAGACUCUGUCUCCA
rfam:Pan troglodytes isolate Yerkes chimp pedigree #C0471 (Clint) chromosome 14, whole genome shotgun sequence.